UACGGAAGAUCCGAGCGUUAUCCGGAAUUACUGGGCGUAAAGAGUUGCGUAGGUGGCAUGAAAAGCGAGCAGUGAAAGGUCCCGGCUCAACCGGGGAUGACAUUGUUCGAACUCUCAAGCUAGAGCACAGCAGAGGUACCUGGAAUUCCCAGUGUAGGAGUAGAAUCCGAUAGAUAUUGGAGGAACACCGAUGGCGUAGGCAGGGUACUGGGCUGGUUGCUGACACGUAAGGCACGAAAGCGUGGGGAGCCGAACGGG
rnacentral:rRNA from 1 species